rnacentral:tRNA from 1 species
AAAAACUUAGGUUAAACUAAACCAAGGGCCUUCAAAGCCCUAAACAGGAAAUAUAAUCCUAGUUUUUG